GUCAUCGAUGGGGAUGCGUUCCAUUAGCUUGUUGGCGGGGUAACGGCCCACCAAGGCAUCGAUGGAUAGGGGUUCUGAGAGGAAGGUCCCCCACAUUGGAACUGAGACACGGUCCAAACUCCUACGGAAGGCAGCAG
rnacentral:rRNA from 1 species